rnacentral:lncRNA from 1 species
UAAGGCUGCACUAACAGUAGAGAUAAGGAAGCUGGAGUUCACAGCCCAGAAACUCCAGGAGCUACCUUGAAGGAAUGCGUUAGCCGGUCUUGCGUGUGCUUCUCAGGAAGAAAAUGAGAACCUUCGUCGGAGGAGACAUCAUUUGGCCUUUCAAACAGUGGGUCUCAAUAGCUGAUGAGUAACGAGAACAGCACGGUAAAUUAACCCCAAAUUAGAGAGGAAGCCUUGUGUCACCACCCA